UGGGGUGUGGCUCAGAGGUAGAGUGCUCGCCUAGCAUGCGUGAGGCACUGGGUUUGAUCCUCAGCACCACAU
rnacentral:tRNA from 1 species